UCCACAUGGUUAAGAUGUCACCUGUUAUGAUGUGUUAGAUGUCAUCACUUGUUGACGCAACCAAAGUAUUUUCUUUGUUAGUUCAUCAAUCCUAAUAAAAGUCAAUAGCCUUGUGGUUAGUGCAUCAACAUAUAGCACAACUGUGCUUACAGAGACCUGAGUUUGAUUCCCAUCUUGAGGUCCUUAGCUGAUUCCUCUCCUUGCUGUAAUUUAUUUUCUUCUGUCCUAUGUGAAUAAAAGGCAUAAAAACAACUUAAAAUUGUGAUGCACAGUAUGUAGUGAACCAGUGUUUGUUACAUUAUUGUGUCUUUCUGUAUUGACCCGCAUCAGCAUCCAGGAUCUGAACUCAGAUCUGUUUUGUAAUUGCUCAUUAUAUUUGCACUUGGAUAAUGAAAUGAUUCUGGAGAGAUGUGUUUCCCAUCAUAUCGGUGUGAUGUAUUCAACACAGCAUCUUUUACCUGCCAUAAUCUCCUUGUUUUUGUCACUCUUGUUGAAAAUUUAUUUUGUGGCGAUCUACGCGAUGGUCUCUAAUUGAUCAGCUCGACAAUUAGACAGAACAAGGCCUGUCUCUCUGUUUGUCUCUCUAUCUCUGUCUGUCUGUCUGUCUUUGUAUGUCUGGCAGCAGCUGCUCUGAAUCAGGUUAUCCUCUGACAGAUAAUGGAUGUAGCCGGUAUCUAAGCAUGCUCCCUAAAGCCAGCUCAAUCCUUCCAACAAGAUAAAGCCGACAAAUUACGCAACAUGAAAAAAACUCGCCGGAGGAGAGCCAGAGAAAGAGCUGAGGAUGUAAAGAAAGAGAGGACACAGAAGAAAAGCAUAUGGGUCGGAACGACAUUAGGAGGAUUGUUGCUGGAAAUAUCUGGAGCAGGUCCGCUGUGACAUAAUUAUUCAAAGGAGCAUGUUGUCUAACCUUCACAAACGGCGCCGAUCAUCCAUUCAGAGCCUCGUGUUUAGGUGGGAGAUGUAGCAGGACCAGGGUUCAGUGUGGGACCUCAGGAGGCAAUGAAGCAAUACGUUUCCAUCUUUCUGAAGGUCACCUGACCUACAUGUGCUGCAGGACGUUGGACACAUUUUUUUACUGCCAGUUUGUAUAGAUUUAUCAGUGUCACUCCUUAAAAUGUGAAUAAAUUCACAUAUUUAGCUCCUUUUAUAACAUUUGUCAGGGGUGCUUAGUAAGGCAUGAAUCAAAAUAGACUUUGUUUACUUACUAAUACAUGUUUCAGGUGUUUUUGUGCGUCUUUUAUCAGUACAUGUUAUUCUAAACAAAAAUAUGACUUAUUUUUAACUCUGAAUGAUGUUUCUUGACUAUGAGUCAUCCUGUGCUAGUGACGUGUCAUGUUAUGAACAUGUUACGCUAUUGCUGAGAUAUUUUAGUUGUUCUAGAAAUGGCAAUAAAUAAUAUAGGAGAGCACUCGCAUGGGUCCUGGAGAUGCGGAUGACCUAGAAAGACAGUAAAAACACAGGAGAAAAAUAGACAAAGGGUCAUUCAGUUCUCUUCAGCCCAUCACCAUGUGCUCAAAAACGCCGUGGUUUUCAAAGUCACCCAAGACCUGUUGUAAACAGUUCCCUGAGUUGAACCAGUAUGUAAAUAUUCACAAUAACCAUAUACAAGCUGAGUCUUCCACCCACUUAGACUGGCUGAUUGGCAGCUAAAGUGACUAAUGCUGCAUUCAAGAUCUUUGGAAAUCAUAAUUACAGCAUGAUGUGCGUUCCAAUGAUUUUUGCUAAAGUGAAAUGUUUUUGCUCUAUAAUGUACUUCUGGAAGCAUUUUUGCACUAAUGCAUCACAAUGAAGAGCAAAGGAUGUGCAUUUGGUGAGUAAUCAAUGUUUUUUUGUCAUUCUUGUUUUCACAGAGAAUGAUGGGAAAUGUAGUUUGAUUGCACUAGUCUGUCUACUCAUGUAUCAGCUAAAUUA